UCCGUUAUUGCAUCACGCAACCCUCGCGUUCUGCUCUGCGCUUUUUUUUUUAAACCAUUCCUGAGUGCUGCGUCUCACGUUUUUAGACUCAAAGACGUUCUGUGUGAACGAGCUCUUACUACUUCCUGAAGUGUGCAUCUGAUGGACGCUACUAUCCCAUGAGGCCGCGGGAGAGGAGUUGUGAAUGGCAGUGGAGCGACACAACUGACGCUCUAGGUCACGACAAUGUCAACAUGAUGGAUUAAGGGUCUCGACAGCACGGCUGUGGCGCUGGCUGCUGCUUGACAUGAACCCUGGAUGAUAUUGUCCAGCACCACGGGACUGUUAAUCUACUGGCUGCCGAAAAAUGGGCUUGUGUAUAAAACCUGUGAAAUAAAUAGUGUGACAUCUGACAGGAUGCAAGCGACUUUGAAUGCUUUCGGGUUUCUGAAGAGCAAAGACUUUUGAAGAAUUGAGAUUUACACAGGCUGCCCACUAUAUGAAUAAAAUGAACAACAUUCAUACAAAUGUUCGAGGGUAAACACAUAAACUGCACAUCUGAAGAGACGUGGCAGGGGCAAAAGGGAUCUCUGAUUAAUUAUGCAGCUUGUAUCAAGCAUGUAGCAGAAAUGAAAAAAUAUGAGAGGAGUGAACACAGACUGUCAGACUCAAUACAUCUCUGCUCUAGUGCCUGUUUUUACAUUUAUUCAUAGAGGAAAGACAUAAGGGUCAUUCUACACUAAUACAUGUGCCAUCCCUUUACAACAUCUCCUUACUGUAUCAACAAAUGUGCACAUCAUUUUGAUACUAUAUAUAUUUUAUAUUCUAUACUAUAUUUUUAGAUUUUAGUUAGAAUAAUAUAUUAUUAGAAGGACUAAAA